GUGAGUGGUGACCCCCCCCCCACAAAAAUUGGGGAAAAAAUCCUAAAUUCCCAUUUUUGGGGGGAGGGGAAGUGGUGACACCCCCAAAAAUUGGGGGGAAAAAACCCCAAAAUUCACAUUUUUGGGGGGGUGAGAAAGUUGUGACCCCCAAAAUUGAGGAAAAACACCCCAAAAUUGAGGAAAAACACCCCAAAAUUGAGGAAAAACCCCAAAAAUUGGGGAAAAAUCCCCAAAAUUGAGGAAAAAACCCCCAAAAUUGGGUAAAAACCUCCCAAAAUUGGGUAAAAAACCCCCAAAAUUUGGGAAAAAAACCCCUACAAUUGGGGAAAUCCCCCAAAAUUGGGGAAAAAAAACCCCAAAAUUGGGGGAAAAAAAACCCCAAAAUUGGGGAAAAAAUCCAAAAUUGGGUAAAACCCCCCCAAAAUUGGGGAAAAAAUCCAAAAUAGGGUAAAACCCCCCAAAAUUGGGGAAAAAAACCUCCAAAAUUGGGGAAAAAACCCAAAAUUGGGAAAAAAUCCCCAAAAUUGGGGGAAAAAAACUCCAAAAUUGAGGAAAAAAACCCCAAAAUUGAGGAAAAAAAACCCCAAAAUUGGGGAAAAGACCCCCAAAAUUGGGGAAAAAACCCAAAAUUGGGGUAAAAAACGCCCAAAAUUGGGGAAAACCCCCCGAAAAGUGGGGAAAAAAUCCCCUAAAAUUGGGGAAAAAACCCCAAAAUUGGGGAAAACCCCCCCAAAAUUGGGGAAAAAACCCUAAAAUUGGGGAACCCCCCAAAAUUGGGUAAAACAACCCCAAAAUUGGGGAAAAAAUCCCCUUAAAUUGGGGAAAAAAACCCCAAAAUUGGGGAAAAAAAUCCCAAAAUUGGGGAAAAACCCCCUAAAAUUCCCAUUUUUUUAAAAUUUGGGCAUUCUGGCUGCCCCCCCCCCAAAUUUUUUGAGUGGGGGGGGUCCUCCCAGUCCCUUCCCAGUACCAAACUGGGGGGGAGGAGCCCCAAAUUGGGGAGGGGGGAGGGGAUUUUUGGG
rnacentral:lncRNA from 1 species